UACAGAGGGUGCGAGCGUUGUCCGGAAUUACUGGGCGUAAAGCGUGCGCAGGCGGUGAUGUAAGACAGAUGUGAAAUCCCCGGGCUCAACCUGGGAACUGCAUUUGUGACUGCAUCGCUGGAGUGCGGCAGAGGGGGAUGGAAUUCCGCGUGUAGCAGUGAAAUGCGUAGAUAUGCGGAGGAACACCGAUGGCGAAGGCAGCCCCCUGGGCCAAUACUGACGCUCAUGCACGAAAGCGUGGGGAGCAAACAGGAUUAGAAA
rnacentral:rRNA from 1 species